rnacentral:rRNA from 1 species
UACGUAGGGGGGCAAGCGUUGUCCGGAUUUAUUGGGCGUAAAGAGCGUGUAGGCGGCCAGGUAGGUCCGUUGUGAAAACUCGAGGCUCAACCUCGAGACGUCGGCGGAAACCAUCUGGCUAGAGUCCGGAAGAGGAGAGUGGAAUUCCUGGUGUAGCGGUGAAAUGCGCAGAUAUCAGGAAGAACACCCGUGGCGAAGGCGGCUCUGUCGG